CGCAGUGCACGGCCGGAGCUGCUGCCAACGCUAAACCCUCGCUGCUGACCUUUCCGGCUGAUCUCCCUUCCUCCAAAGCUGUCGAUGAACGUGUCUGCGUACGCAGGAGAAACCGGCAGCCCUUGAAAGAACCGAAAGCACUGUACCCAGACUGUCAGGGGCCACGAGACACCCUGCCCGGCCAGGGGUGCUGAGUUCUGAGCACAGCAGCACUCUGAAGCACAGGACACGCAGCCUAAAACGGGAACAGCAAACAGUGACCUGUUAAUUAACUGCUCCGGCCACAUCUGAGGGAAAUAUAAGGAAUAAUGAACAGAAGCAAGGGUGAGGAGAAGCAAGUCCCUACCUCUUCAAAAGAUCUGGAUGCAAAGUCAUACAUAGAUGCGAGUGUGUGUUAACAUAUAUAUUUUAGUUCAUACCACAAUCAUAAUUAAUUGCUUCUCAACACAGGAUGGGGGGAGGGGGGGGAAGAGCCACCUGUCUUUACCAUCUACAUAAUAACACUAGCAUGUCCUGUCAGUACUCCCGUCUGGACAAGAUCUUUCAAACCCUCGAGAACCUCACUAACCAAUCUUACACGUUAUAAGACUCUAAAGCAAUUAAAGAAUCACACAGAUGCCCCCAAAAGCAAGGCUAGGAGCAGGCAGCUUGCGAGCAGCAGCUAAAACAAGCUCUAGUUCUUCAGCUGAUGAGGCCAAUGCCAACAGCACUUAAAGCAACCCCUGGAUGGGACAGAACCCAUGAGGCCAGAACCAUUUACUGAACCCAUGUAAAACAAACUCCUCUGGCCAUGUAAGUGGAAAAAUGAGUUAGAACAAUAAAUGGUUUUUAAUAAAGAGCAUCUGUGUCAGUAAAA